rnacentral:rRNA from 1 species
UACAGAGGGUGCGAGCGUUGUUCGGAAUUAUUGGGCGUAAAGGGCUUGUAGGUGGCCAACUAAGUCAGACGUGAAAUCCCUCAGCUUAACUGGGGAACUGCUUCUGAUACUGGAUGGCUUGAGUUUGGGAGAGGGAUGCGGAAUUCCAGGUGUAGCGGUGAAAUGCGUAGAUAUCUGGAGGAACACCGGUGGCGAAGGCGGCAUCCUGGACCAACACUGACACUGAAAAGCGAAAGCCAGGGGAGCAAACGGG